GGCUGGUUAGCUCAGUGGUUUGAGCGCGGUGCUGACAACAAUGACAACACCGAGGACGUGGGUUCGAUUCCCGCUUUGUUCC
rnacentral:tRNA from 1 species